GUAACACGUGACUAUCAUGGCCUUGAGACGGGAAUGCCCGGGGAAACCCGGGUUACUACCGGAGUGGUCUGUCGAUGCCCACGGGCUUCGUUAGAAAAAGAUGGCUUCGUGCUUUCGGUCGAAGGAGGAGCUUGCGGCGGAUUAGCUUGUUGGUGAGGUAACGGCUCACCAAGGCGAUCGAUCCGUAGCUGGUCUGAGAGGACGAUCAGCCGAGCGACUGGGGACUGAGACACGGGUCCAGACUUCCCAUAACGGGAGGGCAGCAGUGGGGGAAUCUUGCGCAAUGGGCGAAAGCCCUGACGCAGCGACGGCCCGCGGUUGAAGGGGAAAGAAAGGCCUUCGGGGUUGUAAAACCUCUUUCAGGAGGGACGAAGCUACUCGGGUUAAUACCCCAGAGGGUGACGGUACCUCCAGAAGAAGCCCGGCUAACUACGUGCAGCAGCCGCGG
rnacentral:rRNA from 1 species